rnacentral:rRNA from 1 species
UACGGGGGGGGCAAGCGUUGUUCGGAAUUACUGGGCGUAAAGGGUGCGUAGGUGGCGCCAUAAGUCAGGUGUGAAAUCUCGGGGCUCAACCCCGAAACUGCACUUGAUACUGUGGUGCUCGAGUACUGGAGAGGAGAUUGGAAUUUACGGUGUAGCAGUGAAAUGCGUAGAUAUCGUAAGGAAGACCAGUGGCGAAGGCGAAUCUCUGGACAGUUACUGACACUGAGGCACGAAGGCCAGGGGAGCAAACGGG